rnacentral:rRNA from 1 species
UUCGGGGGUACUCGAGUGGCGAACGGGUGAGUAACACGUGGGCAAUCUGCCCUGCACUUCGGGAUAAGCCUGGGAAACUGGGUCUAAUACCGGAUAGGACCUUUAGGCGCAUGUCUUUAGGUGGAAAGCUUUUGCGGUGUGGGAUGGGCCCGCGGCCUAUCAGCUUGUUGGUGGGGUGAUGGCCUACCAAGGCGACGACGGGUAGCCGGCCUGAGAGGGUGUCCGGCCACACUGGGACUGAGAUACGGCCCAGACUCCUACGGGAGGCAGCAGUGGGGAAUAUUGCACAAUGGGCGCAAGCCUGAUGCAGCGACGCCGCGUGGGGGAUGACGGCCUUCGGGUUGUAAACCUCUUUCACCAUCGACGAAGGUCCGGGUUUUCUCGGAUUGACGGUAGGUGGAGAAGAAGCACCGGCCAACUACGUGCCAGCAGCCGCGGUAAUACGUAGGGUGCGAGCGUUGUCCGGAAUUACUGGGCGUAAAGAGCUCGUAGGUNGUUUGUCGCGUUGUUCGUGAAAUCUCACGGCUUAACUGUGAGCGUGCGGGCGAUACGGGCAGACUAGAGUACUGCAGGGGAGACUGGAAUUCCUGGUGUAGCGGUGGAAUGCGCAGAUAUCAGGAGGAACACCGGUGGCGAAGGCGGGUCUCUGGGCAGUAACUGACGCUGAGGAGCGAAAGCGUGGGGAGCGAACAGGAUUAGAUACCCUGGUAGUCCACGCCGUAAACGGUGGGUACUAGGUGUGGGUUUCCUUCCUUGGGAUCCGUGCCGUAGCUAACGCAUUAAGUACCCCGCCUGGGGAGUACGGCCGCAAGGCUAAAACUCAAAGGAAUUGACGGGGGCCCGCACAAGCGGCGGAGCAUGUGGAUUAAUUCGAUGCAACGCGAAGAACCUUACCUGGGUUUGACAUGCACAGGACGCGUCUAGAGAUAGGCGUUCCCUUGUGGCCUGUGUGCAGGUGGUGCAUGGCUGUCGUCAGCUCGUGUCGUGAGAUGUUGGGUUAAGUCCCGCAACGAGCGCAACCCUUGUCUCAUGUUGCCAGCGGGUAAUGCCGGGGACUCGUGAGAGACUGCCGGGGUCAACUCGGAGGAAGGUGGGGAUGACGUCAAGUCAUCAUGCCCCUUAUGUCCAGGGCUUCACACAUGCUACAAUGGCCGGUACAAAGGGCUGCGAUGCCGCAAGGUUAAGCGAAUCCUUUUAAAGCCGGUCUCAGUUCGGAUUGGGGUCUGCAACUCGACCCCAUGAAGUCGGAGUCGCUAGUAAUCGCAGAUCAGCAACGCUGCGGUGAAUACG